GCCUUUCAUUCUUGAUCAAAAUUAUUUUAUUUCCAAGCGCACCUGCAUCUUAGACAAGCCGGCUUUGAGGCUCCCUUCUGUUCCUUUUUGUCUUUUGCCCAGGUAGGUCUUUAAUGCUUGGAAAAACACUUUUGCUUGUUAGCCAACCUUUGCCCAUCCUGUACUUAAACACUUUAAUGAAAUAUUUAACAAAAAUUAAUUCACAUUCACUUUUAGUCAUUCUUACUUUUGGCAAAGUAAAAUAUAUGUAAAACAAGUUUUAAAAGUUUAGAGGCAAUUGGGAAAGAAAUAUGAAAAUGCAAGAUAACCAUGUGAUAAGGAUG
rnacentral:lncRNA from 1 species